UGGCGGCAUGCCUUACACAUGCAAGUCGAACGGCAGCACGGGAGCAAUCCUGGUGGCGAGUGGCGAACGGGUGAGUAUAUNUCGGAACGUGCCCGGUCGUGGGGGAUAACGUAGCGAAAGCUACGCUAAUACCGCAUACGAUCUACGGAUGAAAGCGGGGGAUCGCAAGACCUCGNGCGAUUGGAGCGGCCGAUAUCAGAUUAGGUAGUUGGUGAGGUAAAGGCUCACCAAGCCGACGAUCUGUAGCUGGUCUGAGAGGACGACCAGCCACACUGGGACUGAGACACGGCCCAGACUCCUACGGGAGGCAGCAGUGGGGAAUUUUGGACAAUGGGCGCAAGCCUGAUCCAGCAAUGCCGCGUGCAGGAUGAAGGCCUUCGGGUUGUAAACUGCUUUUGUACGGAACGAAACGGUGAGCUCUAAUACAGUUUGCUAAUGACGGUACCGUAAGAAUAAGCUCCGGCUAACUCCGUG
rnacentral:rRNA from 1 species